CCCAAAGUCAUGGUUAAGUGGGAAACGAUGUGGGAAGGCACAGACAGCCAGGAUGUUGGCUUAGAAGCAGCCAUCAUUUAAAGAAAGCGUAAUAGCUCACUGGUCGAGUCGGCCUGCGCGGAAGAUGUAACGGGGCUAAACCAUGCACCGAAGCUGCGGCAGCGACACUAUGUGUUGUUGGGUAGGGGAGCGUUCUGUAAGCCUGCGAAGGGGUGCUGUGAGGCAUGCUGGAGGUAUCAGAAGUGCGAAUGCUGACAUAAGUAACGAUAAAGCGGGUGAAAAGCCCGCUCGCCGGAAGACCAAGGGUUCCUGUCCAACGUUAAUCGGGGCAGGGUGAGUCGACCCCUAAGGCGAGGCCGAAAGGCGUAGUCGAUGGGAAACAGGUUAAUAUUCCUGUACUUGGUGUUACUGCGAAGGGGGGACGGAGAAGGCUAUGUUAGCCGGGCGACGGUUGUCCCGGUUUAAGCAUGUAGGCUGGUUAUCCA
rnacentral:rRNA from 1 species